GCCGGGCGGGGUGGCGCGCGCCUGUAAUCCCAGCUACUCGGGAGGCUGAGGCAGGAGAAUCUCUUGGACCCAGGAGGCGGAGGUUGCAGUGAGCCGAGAUCGCGCCACUGUUCUCCAGCCUGGGCUACAGAGCGAGACUCUGUCUCGA
rnacentral:SRP_RNA from 2 species